UACGGGGGGAGCAAGCGUUGUUCGGAUUUACUGGGCGUAAAGGGCGCGUAGGCGGCCAGCACAAGUCAGUUGUGAAAUCUCCGAGCUUAACUCGGAAAGGUCAACUGAUACUGUGCGGCUAGAGUGCGGAAGGGGCAACUGGAAUUCUUGGUGUAGCGGUGAAAUGCGUAGAUAUCAAGAGGAACACCUGCGGCGAAGGCGGGUGCUGGGCCGACACUGACGCUGAGGCGCGAAAGCUAGGGGAGCGAACGGG
rnacentral:rRNA from 1 species